UUUCGGAUUAUUGUUGCUAUAAUGGGAGUAUUAUUGUUGAUAUUAAAAUGUAUCUUUUUCAAAUUAUCCAGUGUGGCCGCAGUAUUGUACGUAUUAUUGAGUGCGAAUGUAGUUUCAUAUAAUAAUAAGUUAUCUUUCAGGUCGUUGGUGCGGGGCUCACUAAGUGAACAAUUGGUCGUGAAGGUUUUUCGGCUUGGUUUUUCUCCUUCACCUGACUGGCAUCAUAAUUGGCAUUACAACUGGCACACGUCCCAACACUAUUGGCUUUAAUAAAUAUAUUUCAACUUGUA